rnacentral:tRNA from 1 species
AAAAUUGUGCCUGAAUAAAGGAGUGCUUUGAUGUAGCAAAUUAUAUAAUUAUUUAUCUAUUUUA